rnacentral:rRNA from 1 species
UGGCCCAGAUCGUUUACCGUGAAAAAAUUAGAGUGUUCAAAGCAGGCAGAUCCAAUUUUCUGCCACCGAAUACAUUAGCAUGGGAUAAUGGAAUAGGACCCUGUCCUCCUAUUUUCAGUUGGUUUUGGCAGCGCGAGGACUAGGGUAAUGAUUAAUAGGGAUAGUUGGGGGCAUUAAUAUUUAAUUGUCAGAGGUGAAAUUCUUGGAUUUAUGAAAGAUUAACUUCUGCGAAAGCAUCUGCCAAGGAUGUUUUCAUUAAUCAAGAACGAAAGUUAGGGGAUCGAAGACGAUCAGAUACCGUCGUAGUCUUAACCAUAAACGAUGCCGACCAGCGAUUAGGAGACGUUGAAUACAAAACACCACCAUCGGUUGCGGUCGUCCUUGGCGUCUCGGUUUCGGCCGGGGCGCGGGACGUAGUCCCGUCA